rnacentral:rRNA from 1 species
GCAGGCUUAACACAUGCAAGUCGACGGGUAACGACUCCGUCUUCGGAUGGAGGUCGACGACCGGCGCACGGGUGAGUAACGCGUAUGCAACCUACCUUUUACAGGAGGAUAGCCCAGAGAAAUUUGGAUUAAUACUCCAUAGUACUAAUGAAUCACCUGGUUUGUUAGUUAAAACUCCGGUGGUAAAAGAUGGGCAUGCGUGUCAUUAGCUAGUUGGUAAGGUAACGGCUUACCAAGGCGAAGAUGACUAGGGGUUCUGAGAGGAAGAUCCCCCACACUGGUACUGAGACACGGACCAGACUCCUACGGGAGGCAGCAGUGAGGAAUAUUGGUCAAUGGGUGAGAGCCUGGACCAGCCAUGCCGCGUGAAGGAAGACUGCCCUAUGGGUUGUAAACUUCUUUUCUGCAGGAAGAAAUCACUCUACGUGUAGGGUGUUGCCGGUACUGCAGGAAUAAGCAUCGGCUAACUCCGUGCCAGCAGCCGCGGUAAUACGGAGGAUGCAAGCGUUAUCCGGAUUUAUUGGGUUUAAAGGGUGCGUAGGCGGGCUUGUAAGUCAGUGGUGAAAUGCUGUGGCUUAACCAUAGAAUUGCCAUUGAAACUGCAAGUCUUGAGUACAGUUGAGGUGGGCGGAAUGAGUAAUGUAGCGGUGAAAUGCAUAGAUAUUACUCAGAACUCCGAUUGCGUAGGCAGCUUGCUAAACUGUAACUGACGCUGAUGCACGAAAGCGUGGGGAGCGAACAGGAUUAGAUACCCUGGUAGUCCACGCUGUAAACGAUGAGCACUGGUUGUUGGCAAUACACCGUCAGCGACUGAGCGAAAGUAUUAAGUGCUCCACCUGGGGAGUACGUCGGCAACGAUGAAACUCAAAGGAAUUGACGGGGGCCCGCACAAGCGGAGGAACAUGUGGUUUAAUUCGAUGAUACGCGAGGAACCUUACCUGGGCUUGACAUGUUGGUAGUAGUGAAGCGAAAGCGGAUCGACCCUUCGGGGAGCCAUCACAGGUGCUGCAUGGCUGUCGUCAGCUCGUGUCGUGAGAUGUUGGGUUAAGUCCCGCAACGAGCGCAACCCUUGUCGUUAGUUAC